rnacentral:lncRNA from 1 species
AUUUUCAGUAAUGGCUUCUGUAAACCAAUCAUGGCAUAAGAGAGUAAUUUCUUUAUCAUUUUCUUCAUAAAAUUUAACUUCAUAUAAGUUGAAUUUAUUCAAAAUUUUAAAAUUUCAUAAAAUUUAACUAUCUGUGUAUAGUGAUAUUGUGAGGAUCAUGCAAAGGAGGUAAGUUGAAACCAUAUUUUCCAACAGGUAUGAAAUUUUGCUGUCAAGAUAUGGCUAAUAUGCAAUAUGGGCAUAUGGCUAGGAGGUAUCAAGGUCUGGAUUGGAGGAAUUAAUUCAAACUUAUAUAAUAAAUAAAAAUAAUCGAUUUAUUUAAAUAAGAAUAAUAGAAAUACAAUAGUGUUAAACAAUGCAAUUCAAAUCCAACUUAAAUAUAAUAAAAAGAUCAAGAUUUUUAGACUUUCAUAAAUAGUUGAGAGAAAGAGAUAAUUAAAACAAUUCCCUGAGUAUCCAUAUUCUUCAUUCUAUUGUGUUCUGUGCAGCACUACUCAUUUCCCUUCAUCUCUAUUGAACUGCUGCCAGAUGGGACAGGAUAGUUUUCUUUUAACCCACUAUAUUUCUUUUAUUUUUCUCCAACAGAAAUUAGAAAACAGUGAUUCUCCUUCUUUAGUGUUCAAGCAUGUCUGUCUGUCUUGCCUUUUUCUGGAUGAAGAACCAAUACUAUUUAUUUGUUUGGAAGACGAACUUUUCAUCCUUUCUCAUAAUAGAGCAAGAAACUUACAACAUAAAAGAACUUGUUUAAUUACA